UUUUUGUGCAAACUUAAAUUUCUAAAUCUCUCUUUUUUUUCUUCCUUUGUUCACUUUCUACUUUUAUUUAAUUUUGAUGGCAGAAACAUGUUGGGUUAUUGUUUUACGUUUUUGAAGUGAAAAUUUCUUUAGAAUCGUUGUGAUUUCAAACCGGAUGCAACGGAAAAAACGACAGGUAAGAGACACAAAUACAAAAAUGUGUAGGAUGAAUGAGACAGAAAUAUACAUACUAUUUAAUACAGCGCCAUCUGUGAGAUUUUUUAAUACUAACGUGUGUAUGAAAGCUCUUGUAGUGAAUUUUAAUUUAGGAUUAUACGUGAAAUUAAAAUAUCAAUUCACAGAGGGCGCUACCUUACAAUUAUUUACUAAUGACAAAAUUUUACAUAUACUUAAGACGCUUAGGAUAAUUGUAUUUUAAUUUUGGAAGGUUUCACUUCUACCACGUGUGAAUUGCACACAUUUUAAUUUUUUUUAAAUAUUAUAUGUUUGUAUUGUACUGUUGUUGUUCCCAAAUAAAUAAAUGUUUAACAAGAAGAAGAAAAUAUGCAUCUAGUAAUAUUUCACAAUUUUUUUUGUCAUUGCUAAACUUGUGUACAAUGCUUGUAGCAGAUCUUCCAGAACCUACCAAUUGCAAAUAGGUAUGCUCAAAUUAUAUGACCAAUUAGAACACCAUUACUUUUUUAAUAUAGACAAGUAGAGAGGGCAGUCGCGCGGCGUCGUACCUCCUUCACCGACCUCCAGGCACAGAGUAGCACCAUCUGCGCCGUGACGUGUCCCCCGCCGCCCGGCGCUGCCCCCCUGCAACGACAACGACAGUGAGCGGACGCCGCGACCGGAGGAGCCCCCCCCGCGCCCGGCACUCACCCGCCGUCCCCCUGCUCCGUCACCACGGCCCCCGACAUGUCCAUCGAGAGGACGUCAGCACGGCAGGGGGUACAGUACUCACUGGGGGUCGAGCGCGGUGAGCAGGUGCCGCAGACAGCGCAGCGCGCCGUAGGGGGGCCGCCGCGACCCCGCCCGCACCCCGCGCGCGCACCCCGCCACCCGCGCCCGCGCCUCCCGCGCCACGCCCUGCACCAGCGCGAACGUCACCGGCUCCGGACCGCGGCUGAGAGACAACAUAUAGCACUGAGUUUGUUCCCAUUUCAAAACGAUAUAUUUUCCCAUUUUUUUAUGACCAGGUAACUAAAAGCUUUAGGUGAAGUCUUAUUUUAAUUUUAAUUUAUUGAAAACUUUUUUAUAAGAAAAAUGAUAUUAUGAAAUGAAAUGAAGUUGAUUAAUAUGAAACAAGGCAUGAAAUGAAAUGAGUUAAUAUGGGAUGAAAGAUAGUCUCAGUAAAAUGGUGGUCUUGAGACUUUUCAGUGGAAUUUUUGGAGAAUCCCGAGAAGUUACGUUCAGCAGUUUUGUUUCAUUUUCCCACAUUUGUGCACUUUCACAGAUACUAAACAGUUAAUAAACAACCGUUAUUACAAAUUGAAACCUGAAGAGACACUAAAUAGACAAAAUAAUACAAAUCACACAACUUCACUCCGCACUUUCCGCCAAAAAAAUCUUUAUUAUAGUCGAAUUUCGGCUACUGCGGAACCAUGAGCUAUAUUAUAACAAAAAUGAAAUUCGACUUACAAAGUUUCAUCUUGAACUAUAUUUUCGGGUAAUUUCUUCCUCAGUAGAUCCAUCUUGUAGGCCGCCGACACACAGUCCGUCGGCUUCGGCGAGGAGGCCUGAGCCAAUAUGUCGGAUAGUUUCAAACUUGUGGAGUAGCUGUUGUCCUGGAAUAUCAAAUAAAAUAACAUAUCCUGGGGUUUUUUUAUUUAUUGCCCUUAUAGGCAGACGAGCAUACGGCCCACCUGAUGGUGAGUGAUUACCGUCGCCCAUGGACUUCAGCAAUGCAAGGGGCAGAGCCAAGCUGCUGCCUACCAAAACCUAUUUUCUAAAAGUCUCUGAGAUACCAUUUCGCGUCCACUUGCGAAUUUUCAUAUAACAUAUGCACUGCGCCUUGAUCUACUGUAAGAUAUAUUCACCUUUAAUAUCUCUGGAGGACACUUCUCUAAUAUACUCAGAGCCAUUGCUUUGUUACUCUCGUAGCUGUCGUCCAAAUGUAGUAACAGUUUCUCCACGAACUCGGGAUCCCAUGACCUGGAUGAAACAUUGGAAUAUUCACAUAAGGAAUGUUUGUAUUGAGCCUUGUUGAUAACUUAAUAGCAUACUACUAUAAUUAUACUGACUAUAAUUAAUUGAAAUUAUAAGCCUGUACACUAUUAUGACUCUAUUGUCAAAGACUAUUAUAUACUAUACUUUACUUAUGUAAUCACAGAUUGCGCCAAGACUUUACACUUUAGACAAAUAUUAUUAGAGAGAAACAAUAUUUAACCUAUUCUCAAUUUGACUACAGACUAUAAGCAAUAAGAAAAUUUUGUGUGAAAAGUGUGUGCAUGCGUGUGUGUGUCAAAUAUAUCGUAGUGUGUGUAUUUUUUUUAUUGAUUAUAGUUUUAUGCCUAAUUAAAAAAAAUUUAACAUUCUGCCAUCCUCUAUAUUCUCUAUAUGUGUGGGAAAUUUCAUACUCCUCCGUCCGCGCAAUUUUCGUAAAAAGGGGUGCAAAGAUUUUGCUUCACGUAUUAAUAUAUAGAUUAUUGUAUUAUUGGGAUUACGUGAGUAAACGUUUAAAGUCAAUCAAGAAACCUGGGACAGUCUGCUGGAUACACGGCGUCGGCCCAGACGAGGAUCUGCAGCGCGACGCAGCGGCGGCUGUAGUUGGCGCCGGGCAGGAGGCUGCGGCCGCAGAGCUGCGUCAGCUCGGGCAGGAAGGCGGCGUAGUGGGCGCAAAGCGCGUGGCGCCGUCGCCGCAGCGCGCCGUAGCUGUCCCCCAGCCGCUUCAUGAACUGUCGGUAUAGGGUCGUGCUUGUCAAACCUCAAUUCAAAUCGCUCCCAAAAAGGACCAAGUUUAACAGCUUUUUUUAAAGAUUUUAUGGGCUGGUAAUGAGACCUUUAAGACAAGUCUUAUAUCUUUUUCUUAUAUUUUGUUACUAACGACCCGCCCUCGCUUCGCUUAGGGAACUGUAAUUUAUUAUUGAUAACAGUAUUUCUCCACUAUUUAAUGGAUGUUAUAAUAUUAUACAUAUAAACCUUGCUCUUCAAUCACUCUAUCUAUUAAAAAAAAACUGCAUCAAAAUCCGUUGCUUAAUUUUAAUGAUUUAAGCAUACAUAUGGAUAUAGGGACAGAGAAAGCGACUUUGUUUUAUACUAUGUAGUGAUAAUAUGAAAAAUGAAGGAAGGAAGGAAGGUAGAGAGGCGGCCCCAGAGCAACUUAGCGUCGCUCGGUGGAGCAGGAGCUAGGCGUCUUGGGCAUGACGUGGGAGGAGCUAGAACAGACUGCCCAAGACCGAUGUAAAUGGAAGGAUUUGACUCGAUUCCUACACCCCAGCAGAGGGUAAUAGGAAAGAAUGAUGAUGAUAAUGAAAAAUAAAGUGAGCUUUGUGAAACAAGUUUAGAUAGAAUGAAAUAAAUUCUCACUAAAACGGUAGUUAUUUACUGUAACUGUUCCGGUGGACUUUUUGGAAGUACCCGAGAAGCUACGUUCAGGGGAUUUGUUUCAUUUUCCAACACUUGUGCCCCUUCACAGAUGUUGAAACAUUUAUUAAGUCAACGAUAUUGGCUGUGCUAUGAAACAUAAUAAAUAAUAGUUUAAAAAAACUAACAAAACACGCUUUUAUAGAAAAUUCAACUAAAAAAUAGAAAAUAAAACUAUUCUUUUUUAUUUUUUAGUUGAAUUUCAAUUAGUAUUUCAAUAUAUUUUUUGAAAUAUUGAAUUGUCUUCGGCCCUUAAUAAGUAUACCAAAUUUCGAGUUAAUCCGACGUUUUGAAGGGGUCCAAAAUCAUGUUCAAAGAUUCCGUUACAUACUAACAUACAUACGUCUGAAGCUAAUAAAAGCGUAUUAAAAAGGACCUACUUUCUUCAUGACCGAUAGGGUGAGCUGCCGGAAGCUCGGCGCCUGCGCGUUGAUGUUGUACUUGAGGUAGUGCAGGACGAACGACAGCUCCUCAGGGGUGAACGGUUCCGUCGACUUCGGAGACUCCACCACCAGGGACAGAGACAGGAUCCGGGUCUGGUAAUAAUAUCACGGGUAUUAACCGUAAUUUAAACGAAUCAAUCAAUUUUAACACUGACAUUCACCUGGAGUGAGAUGAGACUUUUGUGAAGUGUAGACUCCAAUAAAUAUAAAAAAUUGCUAUUAUCUGUGGCACAAUAUCUCUUGUUUAUGUAAAAUAUCUAUGAUUGUAAUGAUUGCGGAUACAAAAUAAUAAAAAGAACAACGUGAUUUUUUUC